rnacentral:rRNA from 1 species
AUACGUAGGGUGCAAGCGUUAAUCGGAAUUACUGGGCGUAAAGCGUGCGCAGGCGGUUUUGUAAGACAGUGGUGAAAUCCCCGGGCUCAACCUGGGAACUGCCAUUGUGACUGCAAGGCUGGGGUGCGGCAGAGGGGGAUGGAAUUCCGCGUGUAGCAGUGAAAUGCGUAGAUAUGCGGAGGAACACCGAUGGCGAAGGCAAUCCCCUGGGCCUGCACUGACGCUCAUGCACGAAAGCGUGGGGAGCAAACAGGAUUAGAUACCCUGGUAGUCCACGCCCUAAACGAUGUCAACUGGUUGUUGGGGAUUUAUUUUCUCAGUAACGAAGCUAACGCGUGAAGUUGACCGCCUGGGAGUACGGCCGCAAGGUUAAAACUCAAAUGAAUUGACGGGG